UUUUUGUUGAACGAGAUGGGGCAGCGAGGAGGUCGAAGGUCACUGGCCGGGGAAACAGCGACAACGGUGAAGAAAGAGUUGCCUUGUAGUGGUGGUGGGGAAGAAGGGAAGCAAGGCUGCGGCGGGCUACGCUAAGGAUCGUUGCUCUGAUACCAAAUGAUAAGACCCUAAAGUCUUAUCGUAGGCUCUGAUACCAAAUGAUAAGACCCUAAAGUCUUAUUGUCGCUCUGAUACCAAUUGAUAAGACCCUAAAGUCUU
rnacentral:lncRNA from 1 species